UACGAAGGGGGCUAGCGUUGCUCGGAAUCACUGGGCGUAAAGCGCACGUAGGCGGGUCGUUAAGUCAGGGGUGAAAUCCUGGAGCUCAACUCCAGAACUGCCCUUGAUACUGGCGAUCUCGAGUUCGGGAGAGGUGAGUGGAACUGCGAGUGUAGAGGUGAAAUUCGUAGAUAUUCGCAAGAACACCAGUGGCGAAGGCGGCUUACUGGUCCGGUUCUGACGCUGAGGCACGAAAGCGUGGGGAGCAAACAGG
rnacentral:rRNA from 1 species